rnacentral:snoRNA from 1 species
AUAUGCGCUAAGAACAGAUUACCAGUUCCUCCUUCUGGAGGCAGAUUAGAACAUGAUUAUUGGAGUUCACAUGAUAUGUGAUUACCAUCUACAUAAUCAGGACUUGCAGCAUUCUGAUUACUCCUAUCUGAU